rnacentral:lncRNA from 1 species
GUUUGUAUACCUCAGCAGAAAUAGUAAAGGUCAUUACAGAAUAAAAAUAUCUUUCCAAACCCCAGUAAUUAAAAAAGGGUAUCUCACAAUUCACUCAUUUAGCACAGACAAGGGUGCUGUGCACCAAGAAUUAUAAUGCUCCUCGUGCAUAUAAUGAUCUCAAAAAUCACCACACAAUUUUCUGAAUAAUAUACAGUAUAGUAGAUUUUUUUAGUCUAUAGUUGAAGCCAGCCCAUGGUUAAUUACCAGAAAGAUCUAUUCAUCACUGUUUUAUUGUAAAUAAACAAUUUUGUAAACAGUCGGUAUGCAGCUGCAGCACUUUGUACUGUGUAUGUAACAAAUGAACUCUUCAUUCACAUAAAAAAAAAAAACUAAGCUCAAAAAUGUUUCAUUUGCCACAGGGUGGAGGUCUAGGCUGAUAUAGUGCUUGGAAAAGACCAGUCGUUUCAUUCAACCAUGCUGUUCUGUGCACAGCAAUUAAAAAAAGACUUGAGAACAAGGAAGUCUCCUGCACAGAGCUGGGAGUCAUUCUUAGGGUGGGACUACAAAAGGCACUUAAGUUAAGACUGCUAUUGCUCUUGAAUUUCUGUAUCUCAGUAUGACAAUGUUGUUCUUUUACACAGUCAUGGCACUUCUUACAGAUUAUGUUCUUGCAAAUGCAAUAACAUCUCACUCUACUAAACAGCAUGUUUUAGAAGGAGGAAAAGUCACUAUUUCUUGCAACUACAGUGGAAGCAAUAUUAACAGUCUUCAGUGGUACAGACAGUCUUCCAAUACUGCACCUGAAUUUAUCUUGCAAGCUUUUAUAGGUUUGGAACCACAGCACAAGGACCGCUAUGUUGCUAACGUUCAAAAGAAUGAACAAACACUAUAUCUGGAGAUCUCCAAAACUGAGAUGGCAGAUGCUGCAGUAUACUACUGUGGCCUGGUGCCCACAGUAACAGGAAACCCUUCAACACUGUACAAAAACCUGAGAUAUGACUUUCACAUUUGACUAUAGUGUCUCUGAUCCUGGUGCUACAUUGUUUUUUGGUUUUUUUUUCUACUGCACAGAGUGAUGGAUAUUAAUGGUGAUUAAUUCAUAUUCAUGGUCAUUAACACUGAUAAAAAAGUGAUUUAAAACAAAUCUAAGCAAAAAAUAAUAAUAAGCGCAAGAUUAACAAAUGAGCAAGUAUUAAUUUAUCAGUUUAAAAUUUUACAUGAAUCCAUACUUCUGUUCAGAAAGGUAUUUGUCUUUCUAAUACAAUUAACUUCUGUUUACUAGAAUGCAUCAAUAAAUUUUUCUAUAAGGAAACAACACAGACAUCUCAGAAUAAUGUAUACUUGUAGGGGUGAAUGUAUACCUCAGGCUCUAUUACACUGUCAAAGGUUUGUCUCUAUUAUGGUAAAUGCAGUAUAUCUGGUCUGGAGGAUGGUUUCUUUAUUUUAUUCACUUAAUAGAAAAGGACAUUUAGGUGUGCAUCUAAUACUACAAAAAUGCACAACUCUUGCUGAUGUAUGAUAUUGUCAGCUGUAGGCUGCUCUAUCAUAAAACAUGCCCUCACUGUUCAAACUACUGAUGUUAUUAUUAUUAAAUGCUGUAGAUGCAAACUCCUGUGGCACAGUCAUAGCUGUUAAAACAGUGUGAUAUCACUGUCUACUGUAUAAAAAUGCAUAUUGAUUUGUGGUGCAGUAGUUCACCUGCUGCUGAACCUCUAAGAAAACAUGCUAGCUCAAAUCAUAAGCAAAUAAACAAGCUCAGCCAGCCAGAGUAGGGCACUCAAAUGUUUAAUUUUGAGAGGCUAAAGUAAAAUAGUUCAUUCUGACUAUUUUCUCUUAUUUGCCAGGUGAGUUGUCUGGCAAAGUUAAUCUAAGACUUUAGACAAGAAGAUCUGGGAUUACAG